rnacentral:rRNA from 1 species
AGUUGGUGGAGUGAUUUGUCUGCUUAAUUGCGUUAACGAACGAGACCUCGACCUGCUAAAUAGUUCACUUCAUUCCUUUGGGAUGACUGUGUGACUUCUUAGAGGGACUAUCGGUUCUUAGCCGAUGGAAGUUCGAGGCAAUAACAGG